UGCCGGCGAUCGGCGGACGGGUGCGUAACGCGUAUGUAACCUACCUUUGACAGGGGGAUAACAUCGAGAAAUUGGUACUAAUACCCCAUAACAUCACCGGAGGCAUCUUCGGUGGUUGAAAACUCAGGUGGUCAGAGAUGGACAUGCGUUGUAUUAGCUAGUUGGUGAGGUAACGGCUCACCAAGGCGACGAUACAUAGGGGGACUGAGAGGUCAACCCCCCACAUUGGUACUGAGACACGGACCAAACUCCUACGGGAGGCAGCAG
rnacentral:rRNA from 1 species